AUUGAACGCUGGCGGCAGGCUUAACACAUGCAAGUCGAGCGGAGAGAGGUAGCUUGCUACCGAUCUUAGCGGCGGACGGGUGAGUAAUGCUUAGGAAUCUGCCUAUUAGUGGGGGACAACAUCUCGAAAGGAAUGCUAAUACCGCAUACGUCCUACGAGAGAAAGCAGGGGAUCUUCGGACCUUGCGCUAAUAGAUGAGCCUAAGUCGGAUUAGCUAGUUGGUGGGGUAAAGGCCUACCAAGGCGACGAUCUGUAGCGGGUCUGAGAGGAUGAUCCGCCACACUGGGACUGAGACACGGCCCAGACUCCUACGGGAGGCAGCAGUGGGGAAUAUUGGACAAUGGGCGCAAGCCUGAUCCAGCCAUGCCGCGUGUGUGAAGAAGGCCUUAUGGUUGUAAAGCACUUUAAGCGAGGAGGAGGCUACUUUAGUUAAUACCUAGAGAUAGUGGACGUUACUCGCAGAAUAAGCACCGGCUAACUCUGUGCCAGCAGCCGCCGCCGUAA
rnacentral:rRNA from 1 species